rnacentral:rRNA from 1 species
GACGAACGCUGGCGGCGUGCUUAACACAUGCAAGUCGAACGGUAAGGCCCUUCGGGGUACACGAGUGGCGAACGGGUGAGUAACACGUGGGUGAUCUGCCCUGCACUUCGGGAUAAGCCUGGGAAACUGGGUCUAAUACCGGAUAGGACCACUGCCUGCAUGGGUGGUGGUGGAAAGCUCUUGCGGUGUGGGAUGGGCCCGCGGCCUAUCAGCUUGUUGGUGGGGUGAUGGCCUACCAAGGCGACGACGGGUAGCCGGCCUGAGAGGGUGACUGGCCACACUGGGACUGAGAUACGGCCCAGACUCCUACGGGAGGCAGCAGUGGGGAAUAUUGCACAAUGGGCGCAAGCCUGAUGCAGCGACGCCGCGUGAGGGAUGACGGCCUUCGGGUUGUAAACCUCUUUCAGCACCGACGAAGCGCAAGUGACGGUAGGUGCAGAAGAAGGACCGGCCAACUACGUGCCAGCAGCCGCGGUAA